AGAGUUUGAUCAUGGCUCAGGACGAACGCUGGCGGCGUGCUUAACACAUGCAAGUCGAACGGAAAGGCCCUUCGGGGUACUCGAGUGGCGAACGGGUGAGUAACACGUGGGUGAUCUGCCCUGCACUUUGGGAUAAGCCUGGGAAACUGGGUCUAAUACCGAAUAGGACCGCGCUCUUCAUGGGGUGUGGUGGAAAGCUUUUGCGGUGUGGGAUGGGCCCGCGGCCUAUCAGCUUGUUGGUGGGGUAAUGGCCUACCAAGGCGACGACGGGUAGCCGGCCUGAGAGGGUGACCGGCCACACUGGGACUGAGAUACGGCCCAGACUCCUACGGGAGGCAGCAGUGGGGAAUAUUGCACAAUGGGCGCAAGCCUGAUGCAGCGACGCCGCGUGAGGGAUGACGGCCUUCGGGUUGUAAACCUCUUUCAAUAGGGACGAAGCGCAAGUGACGGUACCUAUAGAAGAAGGACCGGCCAACUACGUGCCAGCAGCCGCGGUAAUACGUAGGGUCCGAGCGUUGUCCGGAAUUACUGGGCGUAAAGAGCUCGUAGGUGGUUUGUCGCGUUGUUCGUGAAAACUCACAGCUUAACUGUGGGCGUGCGGGCGAUACGGGCAGACUAGAGUACUGCAGGGGAGACUGGAAUUCCUGGUGUAGCGGUGGAAUGCGCAGAUAUCAGGAGGAACACCGGUGGCGAAGGCGGGUCUCUGGGCAGUAACUGACGCUGAGGAGCGAAAGCGUGGGGAGCGAACAGGAUUAGAUACCCUGGUAGUCCAA
rnacentral:rRNA from 1 species